GACGAACGCUGGCGGCGUGCCUAAUACAUGCAAGUCGAACGCAGUGGGGACGGGUGAGUAACACGUGGGUAACCUCCCAUCAGAGGGGAUAAAACUUGGAAACAGGUGCUAAACAGAUAUUGAUGGAUGGAACCGCGGUGCAUUAGCUAGUUGGGGCGGUAACGGCUCACCAAGGCCACGAGGCAUAGACGACCUGUGAGGGUGAUCGGCAAACCUGGUAGUGAGACACGGCCCAGACUCCUACGGGAGGCAGCCGUAGGGAAUCUUCGGCAAUGGACGAAAGUCUGACCGAGCAACGCCGCGUGAGUGAAGAAGGUUUUCGGAUCGUAAAACUCUGUUGUUAGAGAAGCGGUAUCUAACCAGAAAGCCACGGCUAACUACGUGCCAGCAGCCGCGGUAAUAC
rnacentral:rRNA from 1 species